AAACCAACAGGGAUUACCUCAGUAACGGCGAGUGAAGCGGUAACAGCUCAAAUUUGAAAGCUAGCUCUUUUAGGGUUCGCAUUGUAAUUUGUAGAAGAUGCUUCGGGUGUGGCCCCGGUCUAAGUUCCUUGGAACAGGACGUCAUAGAGGGUGAGAAUCCCGUAUGUGACUGGGUGCUUUCGCUCAUGUGAAGCUCUUUCGACGAGUCGAGUUGUUUGGGAAUGCAGCUCAAAAUGGGUGGUAAAUUUCAUCUAAAGCUAAAUAUUGGCCAGAGACCGAUAGCGCACAAGUAGAGUGAUCGAAAGAUGAAAAGCACUUUGGAAAGAGAGUUAAACAGUACGUGAAAUUGUUGAAAGGGAAGCGCUUGCAACCAGACUUGCGCGUAGAUGAUCAUCCGAACUUCUGUCCGGUGCACUCUUCUACGCUCAGGCCAGCAUCGGUUUCGGUGGUGGGAUAAAGGCCUUGGGAAUGUAGCUCCUCUCGGGGAGUGUUAUAGCCCUCGGUGCAAUGCCGCCUACCGGGACCGAGGACCGCGCUUCGGCUAGGAUGCUGGCGUAAUGGUUGUAAGCGAC
rnacentral:rRNA from 2 species